rnacentral:rRNA from 1 species
GAUACGCUGGCGGCAGGCCUAACACAUGCAAGUCGAGCGGAUGAAGGGAGCUUGCUCCCUGAUUUAGCGGCGGACGGGUGAGUAAUGCCUAGGAAUCUGCCUGGUAGUGGGGGAUAACGUUCCGAAAGGAACGCUAAUACCGCAUACGUCCUACGGGAGAAAGCAGGGGACCUUCGGGCCUUGCGCUAUCAGAUGAGCCUAGGUCGGAUUAGCUAGUUGGUGAGGUAAUGGCUCACCAAGGCGACGAUCCGUAACUGGUCUGAGAGGAUGAUCAGUCACACUGGAACUGAGACACGGUCCAGACUCCUACGGGAGGCAGCAGUGGGGAAUAUUGGACAAUGGGCGAAAGCCUGAUCCAGCCAUGCCGCGUGUGUGAAGAAGGUCUUCGGAUUGUAAAGCACUUUAAGUUGGGAGGAAGGGCAUUAACCUAAUACGUUAGUGUUUUGACGUUACCGACAGAAUAAGCACCGGCUAACUUCGUGCCAGCAGCCGCGGUAAUACGAAGGGUGC